rnacentral:rRNA from 1 species
UACGUAGGGCGCGAGCGUUGUCCGGAAUUAUUGGGCGUAAAGAGCUCGUAGGCGGUUUGUCGCGUCGGUUGUGAAAACCCAAGGCUCAACCUUGGGCCUGCAAUCGAUACGGGCAGACUAGAGUACUGCAGGGGAGACUGGAAUUCCUGGUGUAGCGGUGAAAUGCGCAGAUAUCAGGAGGAACACCGGUGGCGAAGGCGGGUCUCUGGGCAGUAACUGACGCUGAGGAGCGAAAGCGUGGGUAGCAAACAGG